rnacentral:rRNA from 1 species
UACGUAGGGGGCAAGCGUUAUCCGGAUUUACUGGGUUUAAAGGGUGCGUAGGCGGUUUGAUAAGUUAGAGGUGAAAUGUCGGGGCUCAACCCCGAAACUGCCUCUAAUACUGUUGGACUAGAGAAUAGUUGCGGUAGGCGGAAUGUAUGGUGUAGCGGUGAAAUGCUUAGAGAUCAUACAGAACACCGAUUGCGAAGGCAGCUUACCAAACUAUAUCUGACGUUGAGGCACGAAAGCGUGGGUAGCAAACAGG